UACAGGGGUGCAAACGUUGCUCGGAAUUAUUGGGCGUAAAGAGCUCGUAGGCGGUUUGUCGCGUCUGCUGUGAAAACCCGAGGCUCAACCUCGGGCCUGCAGUGGGUACGGGCAGACUAGAGUGCGGUAGGGGAGAUUGGAAUUCCUGGUGUAGCGGUGGAAUGCGCAGAUAUCAGGAGGAACACCGGUGGCGAAGGCGGGUCUCUGGGCCAUUACUGACGCUGAGGAGCGAAAGCGUGGGGAGCGAACAGG
rnacentral:rRNA from 1 species